AGAGCAAAUGUUCUGCUAGAACCCAUUCCUGAUGAUUCCCUGAAGAAUCCAUUCAUACAUGGCAGAAGCUUUGGAGAAACUCACAGCGGUGUCUUUUGUCAUGGGUGAGUUGGAGGACUGGGAGCGAGUGUGUGUCCUGGAAUCUGGCUCAUGGCAGGCAUUGUAAGGCACCUGCUGCCUGCAGCCUACUCAACAUCAUCCUCAUACCUCACUGGGGACUACCUGACAAUGCGAGACAGGAGGAAGCUCACGCCACCAUGGAGAAUGUACUCGUUGCUGGUGCUGGCUUUUCUUUUAUAAAAAAAUUAGGCAGAGCUAUAGAACAUGCCUGGAAUUGAGACUAAUCACGGCUUGGAAUCUCGCAGCUCUAGCCUCCACCUGACUCUUUCCCUUGGCAGUUCGGAGCAAGACUUGCCAUUCCUGUUUUACAUAUCGGAUAAUGAAGCGCGGUACACACAACUGCCCACGCCAGCAAUGGCUUCCAUUCUUGGCAAUCCCAUGGCUUGCUUACAGUCAAGUGAGGCUGAUCCUAUAUUCCCCAUCUCUUGGUCAAAUGGGUGCAGUUGAAUGCCAUUAUGCAAGGAUUCAUGGCAAUUUGACCAUUACUGGACAGCUUUCCAUAGAGCAGUGCUAGCCAGUGGAAGCAGAGUUCCAGGGCACACAGCUGAACGCAGGCCCGUGUUCCUCUGGCUGAGGCUCUGGCUCCCUCCCAGUGACCCUAACUUUGUAAGUCCAUAUCCCUUGGAACUACAACUAGAAAAUAAAGCUGGCCCCAAAUGUAAA